UACGUAGGGUCCGAGCGUUGUCCGGAAUCACUGGGCUUAAAGCGCGUGUAGGCGGGUCGUUAAGUGUCCGAGUGAAAUCCCACGGCUCAACCGUGGAACUGCCGGGCAUACUGGCGAUCUUGAGGCAUUCAGGGGCGAGCGGAACAAAUGGUGGAGCGGUGAAAUGCGUAGAUAUCAUUUGGAACGCCAAUGGUGAAAACAGCUCGCUGGGAAUGAUCUGACGCUGAGACGCGAAAGCCAGGGGAGCGAACGGG
rnacentral:rRNA from 1 species